GGCAAGCCAGCUCAGCAGGAUUCCAGGACCCCCUCCAGCUCUGGGCAAGGAAGCUGCUGCAGGCCUGCAGCAAGACCUGUCCUUCCUGCAUCAUCUGCCCAGGCAGCGCAGAAGGAGCAGUUUCUAUGAAACCAAAGUGCUGUGUCAAACUGUACUGGGACUCCUGAAAAUGUAACCAUAUUGGCAAAAAAAAUCUAUAAGAGACCUGAACUGUCUGCCGCCCUUAUUCAUUUUCUUCAGCAUUAGCUGCUCAUAGCGGAUGUUC